GUUAAUCAUCAAAUCUUUGAACGCAAAUUGCACUCUCCUCGGAGAGUAUGCUUGUUUGAGGGUCAGCCUAUAAAAAUCGACAUCGUUGUUGUUUCGCUGUGGAGUUCGUUGGUAAUUGGGUCAUAUUAAAUCCUUUUGAUUUAAGCGACUUAAAAUUUUAUUUUGGUGACAUGAACGUUGCUAAGAUUUAUUUGUUUACACGUUUAAGGUCUCGUGUUUUAAUAGACGUGACCAUCAUAUCGGAUCGUGUGCAUAAUCUUUCAUUAACCGAACUACGACAGGUAAGA
rnacentral:misc_RNA from 1 species